ensembl:lncRNA
GCGCAGCCUGAGCGCCGCGAAGAUGGAGGAGCUGUCGAGGGGUCGCCGUCGCCGCUGUCGCCGCCACUGCUGCCGCGGCCGCCCGCGCGCCCGGAGCGCCAGCCGCCGGGGGGGUGCUGCUGUGAGUGUCUGAUCACCGUGCCCUGGAGGAUGGCCUUGGAUGGGCAGUAGAGGCACGGCGUUCCUGGACGCCUGUCCCGUCCGUCUGUCGGCGUCUGUCUCUCUCAGCACCACCGCAGCUUCACCCCCUCCUGUCCCAGCCCCCGCACCGGCGUCUUGUGGGUCCAGAGCCGGCAUGAACUCUCCCACCGAGUCGGCAGAUGGCGUGGCUGGCCGGGAGCCGUCCCUGGAGAUCCUGCCGCGGACACCACUGCGCAGCAUCCCCGUGGCAGGUGAGCCAGCACCCACUGCGCCACCUGCCCCUCACUUCCCUCAGGUGGGGCCAUCCUGGCCGCUCCUAGAAGCUGUGCUGAGCAGGGUGAUGGUGCCAUCGGGUCAUGCCUGCUCCUGAGGUCGCCUCCUCGGGACCCUGUUCCUCCUUCCCAGGCUGCCGGCCCCAGGAGGGUCACCCACUGCUGAGCAGGGGCUCCCUGGGCUGGUGACCUGUGGUCUCUGCAGCUGGGGUGCCAGGGGCUCGGUGACCGUCCCCCAGGCCCUGGUUCAGCCUGGCCUGUGGGUGCAGAGCUGUCAGUCUGGCCCAGGUGACCUGCUGGCCCCUCACCUGCACCUUCUCGGCAGGGACUUUCUCAGACUUGCUUGGGGGUGGGCUCCCCCCAGCAGCCUCUCCUCCCUGCUCCCAGGAACCUGUUGGCAGCACCAGGCCCUCCUGGCACAGCUGUCCCACCAGGCCGGCACCACAAGAUGCUUCCUGCAGGGAGGGGUGCUGGGCCCAUGCCCGCGUGGCCUCCUGGCUGCAGCCUGGCGCAUGUGUGAGCGCGUGUGCGUGCUGUGGGGAGUCCUAGCUCUGAAUGUGUGGGUGUGGAGCCCAAGGCUCUGAAUCAGGAGGGGGGCUGUGAGCCUCCCAGUGCCUGAGACCCGGCUCUGAGCUUCGGGAUAAGGUUGGGCAGGGUUCAGGUUCCCCAGGGGCCCUGCUGCACCUACCAAGGCGUCUCCAGCCCCAGGAGGUCUGAGCAGGCUGGCUUUUUUCUCUGCUAAUCCAGCCUGCAGCUCUGGCUCCAAACCCUGGCCUUGUCCCCCAGAGGGCAGUGGGUGUUCAGUCCCUGCACCCUCAUCCUGCGCCAGCCCUGUGUCUCCUGCCCAGCGCUUGGCCUGAGCUCCCUCCCAGCUGUGCCCCUCGAGCUGGACCUGUCCCCCUGCACCUCAGCCCUGUCCCCUACCCCGAGGCCAGCCGGCCCUCCUGGCGAGGCGAGAAGAGGCGUGAGUCACCAGAAGCCAGCGGCAGCCAGCGCUGGAGAGGGCGGGAAUGUCCCUGAGGCCCGGAGUGCUGCCUGUGACGUGCGGCAGGACAGAUACAGCCCCGGGCUUGGCUGCCUGUAUUCCUUUUUCUUUUUUGGACUCUGGAAUGUAAAUAGAUGUUUCAAAUAGAAACACUUUAACCUUUGGCUUAGAAAAAAUGCCCACCCCAGAUAAGCAGGGUGGUGAGGGACUGGGCGGCAGCCUGCUGUUUCUUGCCUGUCCCACGUCCCGACAGGACUUGGGGUCCCGGUGCCCGUGGCUGUGGCAGCGCCCUCAUUCCUUCUUGAUGGCAGGCAGCAUGUGUGUCCCGGGCUCCCGGUCCGAAGGGUUAGAGAGAGGGCCGUCCGCAUGGGGCUUCCCCGCCAUCCCAGCAGCAGGUUUUCGGCAGUUUGAAGGGCAGCCUUUGCUCUCUUGGUCAUAUUUUUCUUUUUUUUUUUUAUUAUAUGUUACCAGGGAUUGAACACAGGACCUUGCACUUUCGAGGCAGGCAGCGGAACCACUGAGCUAAAUCCCCGGCCCUCUUGGCCACAUUUUUGUUGUUAUUUUGAUUUUUCUGAGAUAGUGUCUUACUGUGUGGCCCAGGCUGCCCUCGAACUCACAGUGAUCCUCUUGCCUCCGCCUCCUGAGUGCUGGGAUGAAGGGGUGGGUACCUGCUGUCCUGCUGGCUGCCAGUGCUCAGCGCCAAGCACGGUGCCUGGGACCUGGAUGGACACCGCAGUGGGUGGAGCCGUUCCCGGCUCUGUUCUGGGGCCUGGCCCUCUGGUGACUGAAGCACAGCAGGUCCUGCCGGGGAGGGCCAGGCACACUGCUGUUCCUGAGAGGAAAGUCGAGUCUUGGAGCCAUGGUGGGGUCUGCAGGGUUGAGCUCUCAGCUCACCGUGAGCUUCCCAGGAGUCGCUGCUCUCUUGACCUGGACGCGGGGUUCCCCUCUGUGGCCCUUGGUCUGGCUGAUGCCUGGGUAGUAGUGUGCAGGGCGUGAAGGGAGGCUGAGGCAGGGGGAUCCCAAGUUAGAGCCCAACCUGGCUAGCAGCGAUUUAGCGAGACUCUGGCACAAAAUAAAACAAAGAAUAAAAAGAGCUAGGACAUUGGUCAGUGUGGAGGCCCUGAGUCUGGUCCCCAGUCCUGGGAGAAGACACCAGAGGACCUCUGUCCCCAUGCAGGGAGGUGCUCUGGAUUCGGAUGGGCCCCAGGCUUUCCCUCUGUGUGACACAAGGUGUGCCGGUGUGGAGCCAGCCCUGGUGGGGAGCAGUCUUCCCAUGUGGCAGGUGUAGGAGUACUGGGGGCUCCCCUGCCUUAUCCCCUGUAGGAAGGGUGUUAGUAACACGUCUCCAAGUGAGAAGGACCACAGAGGUCAGGGGGCUUGGCAAGGUCACAGCCAGAGCUGGGAUUUGAACUCAGAUCUUGGUGUGGGGUCCUUGUUAAAGCUGCUUUUGUGGCCCUUGUUAAAGGUGGCCCUUCUGGGGGGAUGUACCCCUGUGCCAGUGUCACAGCUUAGCAAUUGGAGCGUGGGUUAGGUUCCAGCCCCAACUUGCCCUGGUUCAGUUGGCUGCCAUGUGCAGUGUAUGACCUGUGUAACUUUACAUGGCAGGCUGCCUCUGUGGCCCAGUUUGUGCUCCCAAAGAACAGGGACCACUCUGGCCUUGGGGAGCUCUCCUGGGCGUUCUGAGGGGGGGUCCCGCUUCCUUUAAAUACGCAGGAUCGCUUGGAAGUCUCUACCUGUGUGGACUUGGGCCCCGAGGAAGCAGCAUUGAGCUCCCCGCCCUGGGCCUCUUGUUCUUGUGCCCUCAGCUGUCCUUUCCCAGCUGCAUGGCUGCCAGACAGGAAAUCAGAUUCGCUGUGUUCGCACAUGCAGCUGUGACAGCCGGCAGUCGGGAUGCGGGUCGGUGGGUGUCAGGCCCGGUCCUGGCAGAUGCUCCAGGGAGUGUGUGCACGAGUGCGCGGCCAGCAUUAGCUAACUGUCGUCUGUGGCCGGGCCCUGCUUGGAGGAAGGAAGGCUCCCUUCUUGCACCCUGUGCAGUCGGGGCAGUGGGCCCAGCCACCCUGG